AUGCUAAUAGUCAACGCCAGUGUAGCAGCAGGCUUUACUCAGAGCACUGUUAAACACCACCACAGGACCAGCCCCAGAUGGUCCCAAACACCACCACAGGACCAGCCCCAGAUGGUCCCAAACACCACCGCAGGACCAGCCCCAGAUGGUCCCAAACACCACCACAGGACCAGCCCCAGAUGGUCCCAAACACCACCACAGGACCAGCCCCAGAUGGUCCCAAACACCACCACAGGACCAGCCCCAGGUGGUCCCAAACACCACCACAGGACCAGCCCCAGGUGGUCCCAAACACCACCACAGGACCAGCCCCAGGUGGUCCCAAACACCACCACAGGACCAGCCCCAGAUGGUCCCAAACACCACCACAGGACCAGCCCCAGGUGGUCCCAAACACCACCACAGGACCAGCCCCAGGUGGUCCCAAACACCACCACAGGACCAGCCCCAGAUGGUCCCAAACACCACCACAGGACCAGCCCCAGGUGGUCCCAAACACCACCACAGGACCAGCCCCAGGUGGUCCCAAACACCACCACAGGACCAGCCCCAGAUGGUCCCAAACACCACCACAGGACCAGCCCCAGGUGGUCCCAAACACCACCACAGGACCAGCCCCAGAUGGUCCCAAACACCACCGCAGGACCAGCCCCAGAUGGUCCCAAACACCACCGCAGGACCAGCCCCAGGUGGUCCCAAACACCACCGCAGGACCAGCCCCAGAUGGUCCCAAACACCACCGCAGGACCAGCCCCAGGUGGUCCCAAACACCACCGCAGGACCAGCCCCAGGUGGUCCCAAACACCACCGCAGGACCAGCCCCAGAUGGUCCCAAACACCACCACAGGACCAGCCCCAGGUGGUCCCAAACACCACCACAGGACCAGCCCCAGGUGGUCCCAAACACCACCACAGGACCACCACAGGACCAGCCCCAGGUGGUCCCAAACACCACCACAGGACCAGCCCCAGAUGGUCCCAAACACCACCACAGGACCAGCCCCAGGUGGUCCCAAACACCACCACAGGACCAGCCCCAGAUGGUCCCAAACACCACCACAGGACCAGCCCCAGGUGGUCCCAAACACCACCACAGGACCAGCCCCAGGUGGUCCCAAACACCACCACAGGACCAGCCCCAGAUGGUCCCAAACACCACCACAGGACCAGCCCCAGGUGGUCCCAAACACCACCACAGGACCACCACAGGACCAGCCCCAGGUGGUCCCAAACACCACCACAGGACCGGCAGCUGGUCCUUCUGUCCUUUACACAGACGGUCAGCUGGUCCUUCUGUCCUUUACACAGACGGUCAGCUGGUCCUUCUGUCCUUUAGACAGACGGUCAACUGGUCCUUCUGUCCUUUACACAGACGGUCAGCUGGUCCUUCUGUCCUUUAGACAGACGGUCAACUGGUCCUUCUGUCCUUUACACAGACGGUCAGCUGGUCCUUCUGUCCUUUACACAGACGGUCAGCUGGUCCUUCUGUCCUUCUGUCCUUUACACAGACGGUCAGCUGGUCCUUCUGUCCUUUACACAGACGGUCAGCUGGUCCUUCUGUCCUUUACACAGACAGUCAGCUGGUCCUUCUGUCCUUUACACAGACGGUCAGCUGGUCCUUCUGUCCUUUAG
rnacentral:lncRNA from 1 species